rnacentral:tRNA from 1 species
GGAGAGUUAUCGAAGUGGUCAUAACGAGCCGCACUCGAAAUGCGGUUGUCCGUUCCGGGCACGUGGGUUCGAAUCCCACACUCUCCG